rnacentral:rRNA from 1 species
AUUGAACGCUGGCGGCAGGCCUAACACAUGCAAGUCGAGCGGAUGAGUGGAGCUUGCUCCAUGAUUCAGCGGCGGACGGGUGAGUAAUGCCUAGGAAUCUGCCUGGUAGUGGGGGACAACGUUUCGAAAGGAACGCUAAUACCGCAUACGUCCUACGGGAGAAAGUGGGGGAUCUUCGGACCUCACGCUAUCAGAUGAGCCUAGGUCGGAUUAGCUAGUUGGUGAGGUAAAGGCUCACCAAGGCGACGAUCCGUAACUGGUCUGAGAGGAUGGUCAGUCACACUGGAACUGAGACAAGGUACAGAGUCCUACGGGAGCCAGCAGUGGGGGAUAUUGGACAAUGGGCGAAAGCCUGAUCCAGCCAUGCAGCGUGUGUGAAGAAGGUCUUCGGAUUGUAAAGCACUUUAAGUUGGGAGGAAGGGCAGUAAGUUAAUACCUUGCUGUUUUGACGUUACCAACAGAAUAAGCACCGGCUCACUUCGUGCCAGCCGCCGCAGUAAAAC